GAUGAACGCUGGCGGCGUGCUUAACACAUGCAAGUCGAACGAUAAAGCCCAGCUUGCUGGGUGGAUUAGUGGCGAACGGGUGAGUAACACGUGAGUAACCUGCCCUUGACUCUGGGAUAAGCCCGGGAAACUGGGUCUAAUACCGGAUAGGAGCGCCUGUCGCAUGACGGGUGUUGGAAAGAUUUUUCGGUCAUGGAUGGACUCGCGGCCUAUCAGCUUGUUGGUGAGGUAAUGGCUCACCAAGGCGACGACGGGUAGCCGGCCUGAGAGGGUGACCGGCCACACUGGGACUGAGACACGGCCCAGACUCCUACGGGAGGCAGCAGUGGGGAAUAUUGCACAAUGGGCGGAAGCCUGAUGCAGCGACGCCGCGUGAGGGAUGACGGCCUUCGGGUUGUAAACCUCUUUCAGUAGGGAAGCUGCGAAAGGUGACGUACCUGCAGAAG
rnacentral:rRNA from 1 species